rnacentral:snRNA from 1 species
AGCUUUGCGCAGUGGCAGUAUCGUAACCAAUGAGGUUUAUCCGAGGCAUGAUUAUUGCUAAUUGAAAAAAAUAGAAAAGAAAGAAAAAGAAUAAAAAAUUUUAGCUAUAUAUAUCUAAAU